rnacentral:lncRNA from 1 species
UGUGACCAAGGGGAAUAAUUUCUUCUGAGAAUGGAGAGAGUUGACAACUGAGACAAAGGUGGGCACGUGAAUGAUGCUAGCUGUGUAGGGAAUCUCUCUGGAAUGUCUCAAGGUGGCUAUAUCAGAAAUAAGCCUAAAUCUUUGACUUUUACAGUUGCCAUGCAGACAGCUGUGACUCAGCCCUUGCAUUUGAGGCAGUUAAUAGCAGGUGGGCUGCUCUGAGAGGGACCAGUCUGCAGCCUCCAGGUAUAGGCUCAAGUGAGCAUGAACUGAUUGUUGAAGGUGUAAUUGAAAAAGCUACAGUUUGGGCAGACCUAUGCUGUGCUGUGAGGUGGCACGUGAGAAGAGAGCAUCCUACAGAGGAGAGAGAGAUGGCAAGGACAGCACACUGGCACGUGAGCAGUGACCAAACCUCAGCAUGGAGAAAGAAUGAAGGAAGGAGCAGUUUGUCCCCGUUCAGGUACUGAGCACAGUUUUUCAGGUUUUCUUUCUCUUCCCUUUCCUAUUUAGAAAAACCUGGAUGAAGGGAGGUAGACAAGUUGACAGAAGACAUGGCUAAACCCCAGUGAAGCUGCUGCAGGCCUGAGCGGGUGCUGUAUCAGGCGUGGCCAUAAGAGGGAAGUGUGUGCUCAGGCAUUAGGCGCCUUCACUGCGUGCGGGAGCAAUCCCAGCUCGGCCACUGCAGGCUCUGCAGGCAGCAGGACCCUGCCCGGCUCCCACCUCCUGUGCAGGGCUCACAGCAAGGCCUGAGCUCCUGGAGGUGCCAGAGGCCAGCCACAGGGACACCGCUACGGUGUGAGGUGGGAACUUCAGGCUCCAGCAAGGCCGUGCCUGCUGGCUGUGCAGGGCCCUUUGAGCUGGAGCUGUCACGUGUGUAUGGCUGAGGGGUUUCUGCUUGCCACCCGGCCUGGGUGAGGGGUGGUCUGUGCCCACCACAGUAACCCUGCCCAUCCUCUAACCAUGCCAGCGCCUCCUGGAAGAAUUGGGGAACGCUCAGGGACAGUGGGAGCUGUGGAGAGGUCUCCAGGCUGUGCCUGGUGGUGUAAAUGAGAUCUGAGUUUGAGCCGCUUGAUACGGAGUGACACCUGGCUGUUGCACAACAAAGGGGUUAGGGACACAGCUCAUGGCUCCUUUCUACUGUGCUCCUGCUGUGCUGUGAG